rnacentral:rRNA from 1 species
GAUGAACGCUGGCGGCGUGCUUAACACAUGCAAGUCGAACGAAGCACUUUAUUUGAUUUCCUUCGGGACUGAUUAUUUUGUGACUGAGUGGCGGACGGGUGAGUAACGCGUGGGUAACCUGCCUUGUACAGGGGGAUAACAGUUGGAAACGGCUGCUAAUACCGCAUAAGCGCACGGCAUCGCAUGAUGCAGUGUGAAAAACUCCGGUGGUAUAAGAUGGACCCGCGUUGGAUUAGCUGGUUGGUGAGGUAACGGCCCACCAAGGCGACGAUCCAUAGCCGACCUGAGAGGGUGACCGGCCACAUUGGGACUGAGACACGGCCCAAACUCCUACGGGAGGCAGCAGUGGGGAAUAUUGCACAAUGGGCGAAAGCCUGAUGCAGCGACGCCGCGUGAGCGAAGAAGUAUUUCGGUAUGUAAAGCUCUAUCAGCAGGGAAGAUAAUGACGGUA